rnacentral:lncRNA from 1 species
UGACCAUUUGUAAUAUUCAGCAUACACAUAAUUAGUUGAAGUAUUUCAGCAGUGUGUUUACUUGCCACAAUAGGGUUUCCUAAUAUAGGCACAUACAAACACGGUGGCCACUCCUUGUCAAGAUGAUUUCACAAGGACCCUAUCACAGAGGACAGACGCAGCUGGAAUCACACCAGAAGUGCGUUACAGUUUGAGCGAAAGGAUACAUGUUGGUGUUUUUGGGAUCUAACAUACAAAGAUGACAAUGGGAUAUCUAGCUGUCCUGCUUUGCUGUUUCGGAUUGUUACCACAUAUACACAGCGAAAGUCGUUCCCCGUGCAUGGUCAGAUAUGGACAGCACUGUGUUGGUUGCAAUGACAAUGAGUGUACCGAGUGUGACAAAGGGCACUGUGGUUCAAGUUGCGAGGAUAAUUGUACUGGACAGUGUGAAUAUACUUGUCAUAAAACAAACUGUUCUUGUGAAGCAUGUGCUGAUGGAUAUCAUGGGGAUGGUUGUUUAACGCCGUGUUCUGGUAGAUGCUACAUGAAGGAUCUAAGCAAGCCGGCACUUUGUCAAAGAAAUGGGACGUGUUCAGGCUGUAAAUAUGGAUUUUGUUUGCCCAACACGAUGUGCGAAAAACGUUGCAAUGAAUGUUUGGAUGAUGAUUGUGAUGCUUAUACUUGUGAAUGUCGUAGUGGUUGUAAACUUGGUUUCGAUUUUUGCAACGAAACGUCCAAACUUCCAUCCAAUACUGACUGUAAAAACUGUAGAAAUCAAACAUGCAAAGGAGAUGUGUGCAAAGGCUGUAUUGCUGGGCGACACGGAGUGCAAUGUCAGCACAAAUGCGACAACUGUGAAGUGUGUUAUCAACUGGACGGAACCUGUAUACAAGUAAACCAAAACAGCUGGCAUUGGUGUUGGCCCUGCGCAGCAUUUGCUACUCUGUGUUGUAUUUUGUUGGGGGCAUAUAUAUAUAAGUAUCGGGUCGGAACUCCUCGCUGCUGCCAUGACAAGCCCUAGAGAUUAUUUUUCAAACAGAUCAUGCGACAUCUAUCCAUCCUCGGUCCACAUCACAACUGUAUUUAAGUCAACCUGAAGAAUGAGUACUGAGAACAUUGACCAAACUGUCUUUGAUCUGUGCAACGGAAACCUCACUUUGGAUGCUUUACAUGUGAUCUUUAUUAUGGUAUAUAAGUUAGCUGUGCGUUAAAUAGCAAGAACAAUGAAGAACUAAGCAACGUUAAUUUACGAUAAAACAUUGUUCUAUUAUGACGUCAUUUCAGGAAAUUGUAACUUUGAAACUUCAAAGCGGGAGAGAUAUGACAAUCGGUUAGGGGAGAAAAAGUAUAGAUAAUCGACGUGAAAAUUGUUAGAAUAUCUCGGAAAACCAAACUUAAUCCCCCUGUUCGUAGAGAGACUUGUCCAACAUUGCCGAGAUCGGGUUACAUUAAGGGAGUCAUCAUAAUGUAAAUAAUUUAAAUAUUUAAAGCUUGAACAUAUUAUUGACAUUCUUAAAGAGGCUGUGCAAAACGCUGAUGUCUCAUAGAAGAAAUAAACGACUCGUGGCCACUGUUUGUCUCCCUCCAGUGUUUUAUUGAACAACAAACAACUCCCACUCGUCGUUUAUUUCUUAAUUAAUACGUGUAAAUAUGUGACAGCAAAUGAUUGAGGUGCUACUAGAAAUGUCCAGUGCUGUUCACGGCAGCUUAGAAUCAUCUACCUCUGUAAACGAACUUGGCGGGCUCGACCAUUUCGGGAUGAGACGGUUUCUAGAAGGCUGGCUGAAUAAGAGCGGAACAAGGGAAAAUCGAGGCCUUUUUCUACCUGAAUUCCCGCCAGGUUCCAAAACUAUUCCAAACGCAGACAUUAGACAGUGACAGAAGCAUGGGCAUUUGUGAGUACACUGACAUUAUUUCUACCUGUCGCCACUGAUAUGACUUACUGUCAUGCCUGUGUGAUUGUAAAAACUGUGUAUUUGAAGAUAUAUUCUUUUAUUAUUCAAUGAUCAUGUGUGGCCAUUAACUGAUUUUACAAUUAAGUUCUGUAUUAGCUGAUUUCUGGGCUAGGUUUUGUGUUUCAAAUUGGAGAUCACCUCGUUACAGUACUUCACAUGUUUGCGUACACUACGUACCUCCAUUUCCAUCAAAAUUCACAAUAAAACGUAAGUGAUUGAACACGUUUAAGUUUACCACCAUCAAAAGCAAUGGAAGAAUGUGUCACAGAGUGAGUGAAUGAUUGAGCACCACUUUGAAAUUAUUCAGUUAUAUGAGUAAAAUACCACGCAAUUGGGAUGGUGAUGACAAACCAAGGAUCAUAAUCAUUUCUUAUGAUUUAUGAUAACACCAGCAAAUAUUAUACUACACAAAAUUGCUUGUAAAAAGUAUUAUUUGGUGAUAUAAAAAAAUCAUCCAACAAAUAAAGAUUGAAAUAUUCCGGUACAAAAUGAUUAGGUAACCCCUAUAGAGCCUCGAUUUCAUGAUGAACGGACAGAGGCAUGCGUGCACUAGGUCAACACAGCGUACCAUUGCAAACGUCUUUGGUGUGAUAAGCAGGGCAUGGAAUCGAUAGCAGACGUUUUGAUCAGCUACCCAGUGACAUGCAGGUGGUCGACAUAGUUUAACCACACAGCAGGUUUCUCCCGAUUGCAGCAAUACGUCAUCCCUUCGUGUCUGCCAUCACACUCAGAAAUGACCUGUUGAUAGCCAGUGGCGUUAACAUUUUUACUCAGUGCGUAAUCGACUUCGUGAGGCUGGUCUCCGAUCAUUGAGGCCAUGCAUUCGCAUCCCACUGACCCGACAUCACAGGCAGGCACGUUUUGAUUGGGCUGAAGAUCACCUCAGUUGGACUGACGAGGACUUGGCUGCAGUUGGUUUCACUGAUGAAUCGCGAUACUGACUAGCCUUCACAGAUCUUAGCGCUCGAGUGCGGCGUAUACAAGGAGAGUCAGGAUUCCAAUGAAGCCGAAUAUGUCCAUUAUGAAGGGGGCUCACUCAUGAUUUGGGAUGUGAUCAGUAAGUCUGGAAGAACCGAUGGCCGUGUCCUGCAGCGGGGCACGAUGGCAGAUGUGAGAUUCAGUGAUGACAUUCUGGAUGUGUACGUGUGACCGCAUGUUGGUGCAAUCGCCCCGCACUUCAUUCUCACGGACGAUAACGCACGUCCUCAACCUGUCAGGGUCGUUGAUACCUUCUUAGAUCAGAAGGCCAUUGUCCGUAGGGAGUGUCUAGAUUGGUCACCAUACCAUCAUCUUUGGCUAUUUCAAUUAGACACAUUGCCUUUCGAAGUGGUGAUCAUUAGCAAACUUUGAGUAGUAUAUGUUAUCAAUAUCGAUAAGCCUGUCGGAACAGUAUGGCUACUCGAGUGUAAAGUUCCACGACAACUAAAGUCGAAUUUUAUUGAAUUCACACAACGACAGCUGAGACAACAUUGAGCGGUCAACAGUUGAGCAUUCCAGAGUUGUGCCCCUUUUCUAUUUCGCUUACGUGCACCUUUCUCAUCUGGAAUAAGUGAAUGAUUGCGGGUUAAGACGCUUUGAACAGUAUUUAAUUUGUAUUGCAGUGUGUUAAUGAUGAAAUUAUUAUAUGAUCAUAUAUUCAAUUCCUAAUACUCUGAAAAUAAGGUGGGGGGUAUUCGAAACAACAGAUCAUUACAAAUAUACAAAGAUGUAUCCAAUGACGGUAAUGCGCACACGCGGCUAAUGAGAGAUGUGGAAAUUUAUGCUCGUGAAAUUGAGUGUUACUGGAACAAAACCAAGUUCAAUAUUAACACUUAGUGGAUUCAGUCAUGAUUUUAUUUCAACGGGAUUAAUCUGGGGCUACGUGGAGGAAGGAUUGGAUGUCUUAAGAUGCCAACAGGACACGGAACGUUCGAGCGUAUUCAAGCCAGACAAAAUGGACGCCGGUUACGCUUAUAUAAACAUGGGGAAAAUAGACAAAGUUUUACAUUUUAUCACGUUAAAUGCCACAUAUUUUGAAUUGGAAAUUGUGAAAUAAGGGAAUAUUACAACUAACGACCACGUUCCAUUAUCUUUAAAAUGCCAAGGGUCAACCUGAUCUCUCUCACUAGUACUGUGCUUGUCAGACAGACUUAGGCAAACACAUGUAAGACGUUAAUAUCUUUAUCUGUAUCUGCAGCUGUUUGUCAUCCACACCAGGUAAGAAACGUUACCAUCUUGUACUAUGUUAAAUCUUAACUAUAUGCUAUUAUCCUUGCCAAUAUACCAGCAAGUUUAAUUUGUAAUUGUAACUUGUGUGUAUAUCUUAGACAUUCCCGUUGUACUACUUCUGUGUAUAGAUUAUGUCAAUUCUGUUAACUAUAUUAGUUGUUGUAUCUUGUGUGAAUGUCCACUCGGAGUAUUGUAUUAGUUAGAGUGUGUCGGGUAUGCCAGAUUCAAUCAUAUGUAAGCUGUUGUAUUACAUUGUGUACCUUGGAAUAUGUAUCGUAACUAAAGUAGUAUGUACUUAGUAUCUUGUUUAAUGAGUCUAUGUCAUGUUCACCUAUUGUUCUUCACAUAAUAGAAUCAUUAAACAAGAUACUAGGUACAUACUACAUCAGUUACGAUACAUGUUCCAAGGUACACACAUAAUACAACAGCUUCGAAUGAUUGAAUCUGGUAUACCCGACACACCUCAUGCUCUACCCCGUGAGGAUCCGGGGUAGAAUAGGUCUUCAGCAACCCAUGAUUGUUGUAACAGAUUACCAUGCUUGUCGUAAGAGGCGACUAAACAGGAUCGGGUGGUCAGGCUCGCUGACUUGGU